UACACUCCUACGGAGGCAGCAGUGGGGAAUAUUGCACAAUGGGCGCAAGCCUGAUGCAGCCAUGCCGCGUGUAUGAAGAAGGCCUUCGGGUUGUAAAGUACUUUCAGCGGGGAGGAAGGCGAUAAGGUUAAUAACCUUGUCGAUUGACGUUACCCGCAGAAGAAGCACCGGCUAACUCCGUGCCAGCAGCCGCGGUAAUACGGAGGGUGCAAGCGUUAAUCGGAAUUACUGGGCGUAAAGCGCACGCAGGCGGUCUGUCAAGUCGGAUGUGAAAUCCCCGGGCUCAACCUGGGAACUGCAUUCGAAACUGGCAGGCUAGAGUCUUGUAGAGGGGGGUAGAAUUCCAGGUGUAGCGGUGAAAUGCGUAGAGAUCUGGAGGAAUACCGGUGGCGAAGGCGGCCCCCUGGACAAAGACUGACGCUCAGGUGCGAAAGCGUGGGGAGCAAACAGGAUUAGAUACCCGGGUAGUCCCA
rnacentral:rRNA from 1 species